AGAGGCUGGCGGGAGGGGGGCUCCACGGAGCUCCAGCCAGGGCCGCGGUUCGCCUGCACGUCACGGCUACUCAAACCCAAGCACGUCCCGAAAGCGGUAUUUUCUGCGUCUGGGAGGUUUUUGCAUCCUCAGUUCCCACCGCUGGGGCUGGCGGCGACCAACUGUAAGAGAAACUCACUGGGAGGCGAGGCAGGGGGGUGCGGAGGAUGGGAAGGCGACUCUGAAGGGUGGGAAGUGAAUGCUGGACUUGAUCGUCUUUCUCUUUCUUUCAGCGCAGACCUGUCGCAGCCAGAGAGCUGUCAUUUCAGUACCGGGAUUCAGAAUUGAUCCAGUCCGCAGCGGAGGGGGCACAUCCCAGCUACCGAGCUGCUGAGUGUCUCUGGCUGGAACAAUAGUAUUUUUUUCUCUGCGAGGCUGCAAUUAACAUCUUAUUUGUUCUGGCUCCAUACAGGCUUUGUCAGGAUCGCGGUGCGGCGACCGACGUUGGGCUCUUGCAUUGCUUUGUGCUUGGCAAUGGAAUCAUGGUUUCGGGGUCUAAACUUUUGUUUCGUUUUGUAGUCUUAAUGUAUCUGAUUCUUUUUCAAGUUUCCCUAGUAACAGGUUUGGGGACGGGGUGGGAAGAAGCGAGAAAAGGGGUGAAGAGAAAAAACCAGAUUAUAUAGAAAGGAAAAAGGGAAAAGGGAUGUUUCCCCACCUUUUAAUCUAACUAUCUAUCUGUCUGUCUAUCUAUCAUCAUAGAUAGUCAUUUUGCCUCCUGGACAGUUGGCUGACGAAGUGUCUGAUAAACCAGCUUCAGAUACAUGCUACAAAAGGUCAUUCGCCUCCUGAUUAUGUUUCUACUUGUAAACGCAGUUGGUGGUUUGCAAAACAAGUGCUAAAAUAGUGCAGUGAUGUGGUGGGAGGAAACCAUAAUGGGUAAUUCAUAUAAAGUGCUGGAAUCUUCGUAAGGAAGUCCCACUUUAUCAUUAAUGAUGACAAUAACUAAGGCUGCCAGGAACAGCACAUCUGCUGAGCUUUAUCAACACCAGAUUCUCUCAUUUUGCCUUCUGGAUCUCCAUGCUUUUUUAUACCAACAAACAAGAGGAAGAAUAUUCUCUACCCACUUCCUUGACUGAAGCCUGCUCUUUUAUGAAGACAUGGCAUCUCUUCCAACCGUGUCAAACAGAUGCAAUUUAUAUGUCUGCUGCUUCCAUACCCUGAUUAAAUGGGUCAGUGGCAGAAUC
rnacentral:lncRNA from 10 species